rnacentral:rRNA from 1 species
AGCGAACGUUAGCGGCAGGCCUAACACAUGCAAGUCGAGCGAGAAAGAGGACUUCGGUCCUCGAGUACAGCGGCGUACGGGUGAGUAACACGUGGGUAAUCUGCCCUUCGGUGGGGGACAACAACCCGAAAGGGUUGCUAAUACCGCAUUCGCCGGCAUGACCUGUGGAUUAUGCCGGGGAAGUGGGCCUCUACUUGUAAGCACACGCCGAAGGAGGAGCCCGCGUCCCAUCAGCUAGNGGUAGGGUAAUGGCCUACCAAGGCAAAGACGGGUAGCUGGUCUGAGAGGAUGAUCAGCCACACUGGGACUGAGACACGGCCCAGACUCCUACGGGAGGCAGCAGUGGGGAAUAUUGGACAAUGGGCGAAAGCCUGAUCCAGCCAUGCCGCGUGGGU